rnacentral:lncRNA from 1 species
GAUCCUCCUGCCUCAGCCUCCGGAGCCGCUGGGAUUACAGGUGUGUGCCACUGCGCAGGGCUCUCUCUGCCUUUCUUUUCCAAAGUUAAUUUGACUCUUCUAUAUCUUUUGAAUUUCCAUAUAACCUUUAAAAUCACAUUGUAACUAUCUACCAAAAAGCCUGCGGUGGUUUUCACUUAGAUUGUUUUGGAUUUCUAGGUUAGUUUGGGGAGAACUGGCAACUUAAAAAUAUUGAGUCUCCAAUCCAUGAAAAUGGUAUGUACUUCUUCAUUUAUUUAGGUCCCUGAUUUCUCUCAGCAAUGUUUUGCAGUUUUCAUUGCCUGGCAUGUGUUUUAUCAAGCUCACCCCACUCUAGAUUUCUGAAGCUAUUGUUUAUUUCAAUUUUGAUUGUUAAUUGCUAAGAAACAAAAAUAUGACUGAAUUUAGUGUGUUGAUCUGGUGUCCCGCAACCUUGCUGAACCGACAUAUCUGUUCUAGUAUUUUUUUUUCUGAGAUUCCAUCACAUUUUUCUAUGUCAUCAUUCAUCUAUGAAUUUUGGAGAGUUUAUUUUAGUUUUUCCAAUUUUCAUGCCUUUUGUUUCUUUUUGUUGUUUCAUUGCAUUGGCUAGAAUCUUCAGUAUAACAUUAAAUAGGUGGUAAGAAAGGGUAAAUUUUGUUCCCAGUUUUAGGGGGAAAGUGCCUAGUAAUUUCAUCAUUAAGUAUGUCAUUAACUGGUUUUUAAAACAUAGAUGUCCUUUAUCAUAUUGCGGAAGUUUGUUUUAUUCCUAGUUUGCUGCGGGUUUAAAAUUGCGAAUACGUGUUAAAUUUUGUUGAGUACCUUUCUAUAGCUGUAGACAUGAUAGUAUUUUUUUUCUUUUUGUUGAUGAACUUAUGUUUCCUUUUUGUUUGUUAAUAUGGUGAGUCAUAUCGAUUGAUGUUCAAAUAUGAAACCAACUUGCAUUCUGUGGCUAAAUCCCCCUCAAUUAUGUCAUUUUAUCCUUUUUACAUAUUGUCAAAUUGUAUUUGGCUAAAAUUUGUUUUGGAAUUUUUGUAUGUAUGUUUAUGAGGGAUUUUGGUUUGAUUUUUUU